rnacentral:rRNA from 1 species
CGGCAACAGCUCAAAUUUGAAAUCUGGCUCCAUUCUGGCGCCCGAAUUGUAAUUUGUAGAGGGCGUCUCGGGGGCGAUACCGGUCUAAGUUCCUUGGAACAGGGCGUCAUAGAGGGUGAGAAUCCCGUACGUGACCGGCCGUCAAUCCCAUGUGAGAUCCCUUCGAC